rnacentral:rRNA from 1 species
UCUGGUUGAUCCUGCCAGUAGUCAUAUGCUUGUCUCAAAGAUUAAGCCAUGCAUGUCUAAGUAUAAGCAAUUUAUACAGUGAAACUGCGAAUGGCUCAUUAAAUCAGUUAUCGUUUAUUUGAUAGUUCCUUUACUACAUGGUAUAACUGUGGUAAUUCUAGAGCUAAUACAUGCUUAAAAUCUCGACCCUUUGGAAGAGAUGUAUUUAUUAGAUAAAAAAUCAAUGUCUUCGGACUCUUUGAUGAUUCAUAAUAACUUUUCGAAUCGCAUGGCCUUGUGCUGGCGAUGGUUCAUUCAAAUUUCUGCCCUAUCAACUUUCGAUGGUAGGAUAGUGGCCUACCAUGGUUUCAACGGGUAACGGGGAAUAAGGGUUCGAUUCCGGAGAGGGAGCCUGAGAAACGGCUACCACAUCCAAGGAAGGCAGCAGGCGCGCAAAUUACCCAAUCCUAAUUCAGGGAGGUAGUGACAAUAAAUAACGAUACAGGGCCCAUUCGGGUCUUGUAAUUGGAAUGAGUACAAUGUAAAUACCUUAACGAGGAACAAUUGGAGGGCAAGUCUGGUGCCAGCAGCCGCGGUAAUUCCAGCUCCAAUAGCGUAUAUUAAAGUUGUUGCAGUUAAAAAGCUCGUAGUUGAACUUUGGGCCCGGUUGGCCGGUCCGAUUUUUUCGUGUACUGGAUUUCCAACGGGGCCUUUCCUUCUGGCUAACCUUGAGUCCUUGUGGCUCUUGGCGAACCAGGACUUUUACUUUGAAAAAAUUAGAGUGUUCAAAGCAGGCGUAUUGCUCGAAUAUAUUAGCAUGGAAUAAUAGAAUAGGACGUUUGGUUCUAUUUUGUUGGUUUCUAGGACCAUCGUAAUGAUUAAUAGGGACGGUCGGGGGCAUCAGUAUUCAAUUGUCAGAGGUGAAAUUCUUGGAUUUAUUGAAGACUAACUACUGCGAAAGCAUUUGCCAAGGACGUUUUCAUUAAUCAAGAACGAAAGUUAGGGGAUCGAAGAUGAUCAGAU